UACAGCUGUGCCCCGCCCGGCUCCGCGCCGUGCGGCCGCGCUCCCACCGCCUGCCCGCCUGUCUCCUGCGGUCCGUGCUGCUUCUUCCCGGCCUCCGGCUGCCCUCACGUACCAGCUGCUGGUUGGAAACCGGUAUCGCGAGACUACGUUAUGAGUGAGUUUGAUAGGAGUCACCAUGGUGAGGAAAGGAAUAAUGGAUUUUCAGUCAUGGCUUCCUUCUUCCCCCGGAGAGCAAUGAGUCUGUUUCCCUUUUUCAAUAACAGCUUUAUUACAGCAUGUUAAAGGGAAACAAGAAGAUGAACAGACCGGGCCUGGCUGUGCAGCGAUCGGUCUUCUGAGGAGCCUGUGUGAGGAGAUACUGGUCUGGGAGUCAAUCUGAGGAAAAGCAGAAGAUAUUUGCUUUAUAUCUGAAGUAUUAUUCAAGGGAGUUCACUCCAGAAGACAAGAGAACUUUUGGUACAUAAUGAAUAUAAAGCUCUAAGACUUGGUGCUGAAGGAAACUUCUCUCAGAAGUGUGCAUUUAUUGUUUGAUACCUUUUGUGAUACGUGCUGCUUCAUCUACCAUCUCGGGCAUUAGCCAGCCCUGUGUUUCAGGCUGUACCGGAUGGCAGUACUUCUUUGUUUUUGUAAUGUAUGUCUCCUUUACUGAGAAAGAAGAUGGAAGAUUGGCUUUGACAUCAUGUUGCUGCACUGUAAAUUUUACUAGUAGAGUAAGGUGCAAAGAUAUCCUAAAUCCAUGUGAUGGCUCACACCAGACCUCUGUCAGAAGUUCUUUGAUUAGAUUUCCUAGGAAGUCAAAACACUGCACCAAAAUGGUAGCAGAAAGGACUGUGCAGUACUGGAAGAUAUCAUCCUGCCUGCUCACAGUGCUGACUGUGCUUCUGCUUUUUGAGAAAACAGGGAAAGAAAGAUGGAGAAAGAGGAGAUGAGAAGAUUUGGAUGGAAAAUAAUACAGUUUUCAUUGCAGACUUAGAAGGGUAUCUGCAAUCUUGUAGCAUCAUGAUUUGAGUGUUCAGAGAACCUCCAAAAUAAGACCUUAACAAAGGUUUUAUUUUGGAGAGAAUACAAAGCAGCUGACAGUAUUUUAACAAUUUUUACUGGACUUGCCUUUUCAGCCUCUUAAAAUUAAUUGAAGAGCCACAGACCAACCACAUUUAUAAAUAACAUAAUGCAGUUGGGGAUAAUGCAAAUGUCUUUAUAAAUAACACACUAUAGCUUAAAUCAUUAUUUUUAAUGCUGCUAUUUUUUGUUCCUAUAUGAACAGGUCUGUGCUGGUCUGCAUUAAUUAAAUUUAAGUAGGAUUUCUAAGGCCAGAUCAUCAUUAUUUCUGUGGACCUGAUUUAAGUCUGCAGUAAAACAUUUCUCCAUUUAGUCUGGUGCUUUUGUGUCAUAUUUCAUACACUAGUUGUCUCUUAAUUAAAUCCAUGAUGGCCCACCAACACAGACUAUUAAAAUAACUAUACUUUGCACUUGACAUAUUUAUGAGACAGAUUCAUAAGAGUAUAGACUGAUACUUGAACUACUCACUGAGAAAUGCUAAUAAGAUUAUGAUGAAGGUAAGAUUAGAACAUUUGUCUCCUUUUCUCUUCUCUCUUCUUUUUAGAAAUUUAUUUUUAUAACCACAGUUCACUACGUCUAUUUCGGGCUCUUUGAUGUUGUUGUAUAUACCAGCAAUUCUUUCUGUGUGUAUUUAUUAUGGCGAUGAGAAGCGGGAAACUAUUUAUUUAUACCACUUCAGGAAAGCACUUAAGUAUUGUGUCCUUGAAGUAUGACUAUGUGCAGAUAUCUGUAAAACCUUCGCAUGGGAUUGACGUGUUCAAGAUAUUGCAUAUUAAGAAAUAGGCAUCCUUUGAAAUUGGAUGAAUGUAAAAUAUUGAUUAUCACAAAGAGGUGCAUUGCUUUAUCUUUAUUGCCCUGUUCCUCGAGCUGUUCUGUUGUAGGGCCAGCAGGGUCUGAUCCUGCUGGGGAAGGAGACAGCGGUACUAUGCCUGUGGUCAUGUGCUGCAUACUGGCAUGCCAGGCAGGGUGUCCUAGCCCAGCUUCCAGGUGCACAGCACAACAUUUUUGCAUGGAUUGGUCUGUGCAGUUUACUCUAUGCCUUUUGACUGUCACUGCAGUGUUUGAAAUUGUUUGGAUGUAUGGCCUCAGCAAUUAGGAAAGAUGAGAAAAAGGAAAUCAUAUCCAUGAGUAUGACUUGAAGGGUUGCAUGGCAUUUGUUAAGAUUUGAUCUUUUUGUGUGCAUGAAUAUCUGGAAAUGGCAUUCCUUUUUGGAUCAUUUAUUGACAAAGUCACCGAUAUCAUUUGAUAUUUUUUAAAGAACGUGAAAGUAGUAGGUUCAAGGAAUUCCAUAUUUGAGAGCGAGGGCAAUAGAAGUGAUAAAGCUGCUACCUGGAUGGUCUAAAAUCAGCAAUGAUUUCUGUUGCUUUUCAAUUCCCCUCUUACGGACCUUCUUCUUUCUCUCCCUUUUUUCCAGUUAUAUCUUUCAUGGAAAGGCUCCUGUACAUCACUGAAUCCAAGUGUGGGCACAAUUGCAGAUGGCUGUAAAGACAUACAGUUUGAAGGAUAUUUAUAUUAUCAGUGUGGUGUAUAGAAACCCAAAUCUGCAUGAUGUUCUGAUUUCUUUGGUGAUACAUUACCAUGCUUCACACUGGUAUCUUCUUUGAAAUUAUUGUAAGCAUAAGAUAUUGAGAUUUCAUUUACAAAUAAAUACGAUAUUAGAAAGUAAGAAUAAUAAAGAUAUAUUAAAUAUUUCAUCUUCUAGAGAAAUAAACCAGCUACAGUUCAGGGAGCUUCACUAAACACAUUAAAUCUAAUAAAAUCGCCUACAUGUACUCCUGACACUAGUAGUAAUUAAAAUAACUUGUUUCAAAAAAUUGGUCCUAUACAUGAAUACUUAUUGGCAAUUAUUUCUAAGUUCUUCAAACCAAAGAUAACGUAAUUUGAUUCACACACAAUGUUCUUGUAAAUGUGGUUCAUAGUGGGUUUUAUAUGCAGCUUAGGACUGUUAAUUGCCAUUUUGAGCCUCACAGUAAAAUAGAGUUCAAUAUGUCGCUUUUUCUGAAGUAUUGAGAAAUGUUUGAGAAAUGCUUGUCUUAGUCUAAUCAACUGUGAAUAAUUUAUUUCUGAGUCCUACUUUUCAGUAUAAGUGGAUCUGACUUUUCUCGGAGCUUCUAAAAUCUAAUCAACUUGUUAUAUUCAUUUAAUUAGGAAAGUCUGUAACGAACUGUGAAGUGUAUGUACCAACAGGCUUUCUUGUUGUGUAAAAUGGGUGUAUUUUCCCUGUGAAUGCGAUUGCGUUUGUUUGUACUGACUGGUAGCCACUACUAAACAUACCAGGUUUUUAUGGAUACAUAUAGGUCAAUAUGCAUAGCACAUAGAUGUUUUCUGAGCUGCCUUUUCUCCUUAUGCUCGGACAAAAGGUCUUUGACCCUGGUCUAAAAUAUUGCCCGGUGCUUAUGGGAUGUAAUAUGAAAAUCAUCAAAACUGUCCUUGGCAGGAUGUUUCUUUCCAUUAGUUAAUUAAAGUGGUUUAUUAUUGCCUACAGCACGAUUGCUUUAUAUGUGG